rnacentral:tRNA from 1 species
UCAUCGCGCGGGUUGACCACCAGGUCGGCGCCCAUUUCGCGGGCGAAGGCCAGUUGUGCAUCGUUCACGUCGAUGGCGAUGACCC